rnacentral:rRNA from 1 species
UAUCUGCAGUCGAGCGACUGAUUAGAAGCUUGCUUCUAUGACGUUAGCGGCGGACGGGUGAGUAACACGUGGGCAACCUGCCUGUAAGACUGGGAUAACUUCGGGAAACCGAAGCUAAUACCGGAUAGGAUCUUCUCCUUCAUGGGAGAUGAUUGAAAGAUGGUUUCGGCUAUCACUUACAGAUGGGCCCGCGGUGCAUUAGCUAGUUGGUGAGGUAACGGCUCACCAAGGCAACGAUGCAUAGCCGACCUGAGAGGGUGAUCGGCCACACUGGGACUGAGACACGGCCCAGACUCCUACGGGAGGCAGCAGUAGGGAAUCUUCCGCAAUGGACGAAAGUCUGACGGAGCAACGCCGCGUGAGUGAUGAAGGCUUUCGGGUCGUAAAACUCUGUUGUUAGGGAAGAGCAAGUACGAGAGUAACUGCUCGUACCUUGACGGUACCUAACCAGAAAGCCACGGCUAACUACGUGCCAGCAGCCGCGGUAAUACGUAGGUGGCAAGCGUUAUCCGGAAUUAUUGGGCGUAAAGCGCGCGCAGGCGGUUUCUUAAGUCUGAUGUGAAAGCCCACGGCUCAACCGUGGAGGGUCAUUGGAAACUGGGGAACUUGAGUGCAGAAAAGAAAAGCGGAAUUCCACGUGUAGCGGUGAAAUGCGUAAAGAUGUGGAGGAACACCAGUGGCGAAGGCGGCUUUUUGGUCUGUAACUGACGCUGAGGCGCGGAAAGCGUGGGGAGCAAACAGGAUUAGAUACCCUGGUAGUCCACGCCGUAAACGAUGAGUGCUAAGUGUUAGAGGGUUUCCCCCCUUUAGUGCUGCAGCUAACGCAUUAAGCACUCCCCCUGGGGAGUAC